GUCCUGAACCAGCAGCAUCUAGUCUGAGUCCUUGUGCUGAACGCUAUCUUGUUUUCUCCCUGUCUCAGCCACAGAAUACCUGCCUGAUCUCGGACUCUCCCCUGAGACACAGAACUCCCUGAGCAUAGGAGCCCGGCCCUCGUCGCCGUCGGAACAAAUGCAGCUCACAGUCCCAAACAGAGCAGGCUGCACUUUAUGUUGCAAAACAGCUCCGUUUCCACUCGUCACAGCUGUCUGGACUCACAGCGCGGCGGAGUUGAUCUGAAAGCUGGAUGUGGCAUGAUUGCGGUGGUCCUGCUCCUGAACCUCUGCUAGAUAAUUCCAAUAAAUACCAGCAAGUGGAACCAAAGACAGUUUGAUUAAAAUUGAGAUAAUUUGAGAAAAGCAGAUUUUUAUUUAAAGCACUUUGAAAAAUGAACAUCCAGGUUUGAGUGUUAUUUUUGCUUUUCUUUUAUUUGUGAACGACAUCUCUGAUAUACGUUGACACUUGUUUGUUCCAACAUCUUCCCUCAGGACUG